GUAACCGGUCAAACUAACCCUGAGAACGCCGAUCUCGUAUGAUCUCUGAAGCUAAGCCGGUGUUGGGCCUGGUUAGUACUUGGAAUGGGAGACCACCUGGGAAAUACCAAGGUGCUUGUUAAC
ensembl:rRNA 5S_rRNA 5S ribosomal RNA